UAUCCUCCUCUCCCAGCCCCUGGAUCCCCCCGGGGACCCCCGGGCCCCCAUUCCCCGCCAGCCCAGGGCACCUCAGCCCCAGGCCUCGCUUUGCUGGGAAGCCCGGGCUGGGCACGGGGCUCUGCGGCCGCUCUGGGAUUUGUGAUCCCCCAGAAGAAAGGGAGAGAACAGCAGAGAGCAAGAAGGAGACUGGCAAUCAGGGAUCGGGGUCCCAGCGCCCGUGCAGGGUCCCAGAUGGAUCCCCGAGGGAUCCUGAGGGGUGCCAGGAGGGGAUCCAGGUGAAUUCCCUGGAAUUCCCCCUUUUCCCCUCCUCCUUUCCCUUCCCCCCGCGCUCCCUCGGGCACUUUCGCUUUCGAGUCUCUCGAGCUGCGCCACAGCCGCGAUCGGGGACGGCUGCGAUGGCUCCAGCGCUGGGUCUGGGGGUGCUCUUGGGGCUCCUGGCGCUCCUGGGGGACCCGGGGUGCGCGACCAAAGUUCUCCAUUCCCGGCGCUUUCUUAAGGGUGUCCAAGGGGGUCCCAGCUGAUUCUCAGAGGGCUCCAGGGCGGUCGCAGCGGGGAUCCAGAGAGAUCCAGAGGGAUUCUCCGGAAUUCCCCCGUCCCCUCCCCUCCCCGCCCUUCUCGGUCCCUUUCGCUUCCGCGUCCCAACCUGAGAGACCGGGAUCUGCCCGGCGACUGGUGACGUCACUGACAUAUCGGGUUGCCAUUGGCGGACAGUAAAUAGCGGAGCCAAUGGCGGGGCCGGAGGCGGCCCUGUGGGCAGGGCCAGGGCUGUGGGCGGGGCCAGGGCUGAGCGCGGGGCUGUAGCGGAGCAGCGCCAUGGCUGCAGCGCUGGGUCUGGGGCUGCUCUUGGGGCUCCUCGGGGACCCGGGGGUCGCGACCAAAGGGCACUGGGACAUCUGUGAAUCUCCAUUUCCAGACACUGGGACUCCCCUGCACCCCCUUAUCUGGGACUGGGACCCCCCUCCACCCCCGUCAGUGCUCUGGGACCCCCUGCUCCCCUUUUCCGGCAUCCCGCUUUUCCCAGACCCCAGAGCCUUUGGAUCUUUUCCUUGACCUUUGGACCCCCCAGAUCUCCCAACUUUUUGUGUCCCCCCGUUUUCCACUCCCGCCCCUUCCCAAAACGGGGUCCCAG